CUGCUCUAUAACACCCACAUAUGAGUCAAACCUCUCUUGCAAGGAGCACAAUAUCUUGGAGACAAUCAUGCUCUCAGGUUGUAAAAGUUGGCCCUUAGUCUCUGCAGCAUUAUCAUGGAACCUUUUGAGUCUCCUUGAAACCUCAGCUUCAACACUUCCCAUGCUUCUCUUGACGUUUCAGUCACCGACAGGUGUAGCUAGCUUAUGUGAUUCUGGAAUUCCCUUAGUUACUAUCUUCCACAACCCCUUAGACUUAAGGAUUACCUUCAUCUUAAUGACCCAUAAGCUAUAGUUGUUCCCAUCACACACUGGAACCACUAAUCUUCAAGCUUCAAGGCCACCAAGACCAUCUAACUCUUCUACCAUGUUGAUUUGUGCUUGAAGGAGUCUUAGCCGCUUAGAAAACUUAC